rnacentral:lncRNA from 1 species
ACACAAUUAACAAAAUCAUCGGUUAAAGUCCGCCUAAAUUUGUUCCGAAUUUAAUCUAAUAGCAAGUUAAGCCUAGUUUAACUGCAUAUUAAAAAACCCGCCAUUAAUGAGAUAGCGAGACAUUCUGGGUUAACGCUAAUAUGGGUUCCUGCACACAAUAAUUGUCUAGGAAACGAACUCGCCAGAAACGACACGAUGGGAGGGAAAAAUGAAAUCGACGCUUUCACUGGUAUUUCCCUUAGUAACUGAAAGGCACUUGUUCAAAAUGAACUAUAUGAAAUGGCUGAGAUCAGAUGGUUUAGUGAAACCACCUGUAUAAUCUCGAGGUCAACCUGGCCUCUAUAUGAAGCUUCUAAGUCUAGCUUACUGUUAAGCUUUCGUAGGGGACAAAUGCAAAAAGAAUGGGUCUCCGGUACAAUGACUACAGAAGUUGUAGUCACAAUGAGGAGGAGGAGGAAACUAUACCUCAUCUCCUCUUUUACUAUCCGAUAUUUAAUGGGAACAGGGAACUUUAUUUUGGAUGUGCUGUUCUCUCUUCUUUGAAGGAUAUAUCCUUCAACUUAUGGUUAGGUAGGAAGUGUAGCCUUCCCCAAGUCUCAUAACAUUUUCUUUGUCAUUAACAUUCGACUUAUAGUCGAUUUCUGGAGGACUACUCAGAGCUAAUUGGGAUUAGAAUAGAUAACAUAAACCAUAAGCCAUUGAGGACAACUCAGAACUAACUGGAAUUAGAAUAGAUAACAUAACCAAAAGGUAUUGCAGUUGGUUUGACGGAACAAACUCCAACAGCACUGAUUAGUAGCUUUUUCGAAUUCUGUACUAUUAACCGCUCAAUUUCUUAUUUCAAUGCCACUUUACCAUGAUCUCUUACUACAACUCGAGUUUAAUCUAACAGCAAGUUUAAAGUAGUUUAACUGAGUAGCAAGAAACCCGCCCUAAAUUUUUCAUUUUACAAAUAUAAUAUUUGCAAAAAACAGCUGUUCAGUGUUUAUGAUUUUGACAGAAUAGUUGGCAAUACUAUUAAAGUUAACUCAUCUUAAAUCCAAAACUGGAAAAUACAAUCAUAAGGCUAACUAAGUAGCAUCACAAAAGCACCACUAAGAUUUAUUUGUAACCUGUUCUAUCCACAUUGUUCGUUCCCACGACAAUCGGUUCUUCGCACCGGAAGGACUCGGAGAUAAAUGAACAACGACCAAGGAUUGUCAACCCAGCCACACCGACUUUAAACGUGUCGCUGCUACAACAACAACCCACAUUGUUUCCAUAAGAACUGUAUCAUCGCUCGGGAACGAUCCGAGUAAUAUUCGACUAAAAAUGGUCAAAACUGUGACAAUUUAUCAACCGAAAGUUUUUUCAGGAAAGAACUAUCGCACACUAUCGAACUGUUACAACAACCUUACUACGUAGGUCUCUCCCUUAACACCCUAUAAAGAUAAGUUUUGUUUUGAAAUUGUGAAAACCAAGUUUUUAAAAUUGUGUUGUUUCAAAUGCAGGGCGUGGCAUUUAGGAUAUUUCUACAUAUUUUAUUACUUUUUUAGUUUCAAAAUAUAUUUGAAAAAUUUUUAUUUCUCUUACAGCAAAAACCUAAAUAUUUAGCAAAUAUUUAACAACAAAUUUAAAUAAUUUUACUUUAAGUCUUUUUUUACACUAUAACUAUAAAACAUCUUUAUAAGACAGUAAGAAAAAGCAUUCAAUAGUAAAACUAUUUUUAAAUAAAACAAUAACAAAAAAAAGAUCAAAUUCCAGACAUUUUACAAAAAGUUUAUAAAAGAAAGAAAUAUACAAUAUGUACAUUUUCUAAAGUAAUAAAGUAAAGCCCUACAAAUGAAAUCAAUAACUUUAUUUACACAAAAAAACUAGUUAUUUACUAAAUGUUAAACUUAUAUAUACUGCAAUAUACUAUAGAAUAUAAUUC